AUUGAACGCUGGCGGCACGCUUUACACAUGCAAGUCGAACGGUAACAGGUUAAGCUGACGAGUGGCGAACGGGUGAGUAAUGCAUCGGAACGUGCCCGAUCGUGGGGGGUAACGCAGCGAAAGCUGCGCUAAUACCGCAUACGAUCUGAGGAUGAAAGCGGGGGACCGUAAGGCCUCGCGCGAUCGGAGCGGCCGAUGUCAGAUUAGGUAGUUGGUGGGGUAAAGGCUCACCAAGCCAACGAUCUGUAGCUGGUCUGAGAGGACGACCAGCCACACUGGGACUGAGACACGGCCCAGACUCCUACGGGAGGCAGCAGUGGGGAAUUUUGGACAAUGGGCGAAAGCCUGAUCCAGCAAUGCCGCGUGCAGGAAGAAGGCCUUCGGGUUGUAAACUGCUUUUGUACGGAGCGAAAAGGCUCUCUCUAAUACAGGGGGCUCAUGACGGUACCGUAAGAAUAAGCACCGGCUAACUACGUGCCAGCAGCCGCCGUAA
rnacentral:rRNA from 1 species